rfam:Salmo salar isolate Sally breed double haploid chromosome ssa09, whole genome shotgun sequence.
UGAAUGCACUAACUGUAAAUCGCUCUGGAUAAGAGCGUCUGCUAAAUGACUAAAA